UACGUAGGGGGCAAGCGUUAUCCGGAAUUACUGGGUGUAAAGGGUGAGUAGGCGGCAUGGUAAGCCAGAUGUGAAAGCCUUGGGCUUAACCCGAGGAUUGCAUUUGGAACUAUCGAGCUAGAGUACAGGAGAGGAAAGCGGAAUUCCUAGUGUAGCGGUGAAAUGCGUAGAUAUUAGGAAGAACACCAGUGGCGAAGGCGGCUUUCUGGACUGAAACUGACGCUGAGGCACGAAAGCGUGGGGAGCGAACAGG
rnacentral:rRNA from 1 species